rnacentral:rRNA from 1 species
UACGAGUGCUUCAAGCGUUAUCCGGAAUCAUUGGGCGUAAAGGGUGCGUAGGCGGCUGUGUUAGUCUCGUCUUAAAUCUACCGGCUCAACCGGUAGGCUGGAUGGGAAACGGCACGGCUCGAGGACGGGAGAGGUCUCUGGAACUCAUGGUGUAGCGGUGAAAUGCGUUGAUAUCAUGGGGAACACCAAAAGCGAAGGCAAGAGACUGGCCCGCUCCUGACGCUGAAGCACGAAAGCGUGGGUCGCGAAUGGG